rnacentral:rRNA from 1 species
AUUGAACGCUGGCGGCAGGCUUAACACAUGCAAGUCGAGCGGAGGGAGGGUGCUUGCACCUUAGCUUAGCGGCGGACGGGUGAGUAAUGCUUAGGAAUCUGCCUAUUAGUGGGGGACAACAUUCCGAAAGGAAUGCUAAUACCGCAUACGCCCUACGGGGGAAAGCAGGGGAUCUUCGGACCUUGCGCUAAUAGAUGAGCCUAAGUCGGAUUAGCUAGUUGGUGGGGUAAAGGCCUACCAAGGCGACGAUCUGUAGCGGGUCUGAGAGGAUGAUCCGCCACACUGGGACUGAGACACGGCCCAGACUCCUACGGGAGGCAGCAGUGGGGAAUAUUGGACAAUGGGCGGAAGCCUGAUCCAGCCAUGCCGCGUGUGUGAAGAAGGCCUUUUGGUUGUAAAGCACAUUAAGCGAGGAGGAGGCUACUUAGAUUAAUACUCUAGGAUAGUGGACGUUACUCGCAGAAUAAGCACCGGCUAACUCUGUGCCAGCCGCCGCAGUAA